AAAGAAUAUAUACAUUUCAUUUUAAAAAUAAAAGAUGUUUACUGUGUUUGCACAGGCUUAUGCAAACCGAGGAAACCUUUGGAAGAACUCGAGA